GCGAGAGAUAUACGACUCAACUGGCUCAAUCGCUGUGUGACAAGCCUCGCACCGGCCACUCAUAAAAAAAAGACCCACAUGCCACACUGUUCCCCUCUCUGUCUUAUCUCCUUCCUCUAGAGAGGACUGGUCACUGUUUUUCCCCACCGCAAGCGCUGCUCCGGCCAAAUCCGGUCAGCUUGUACUGCUCCGGCGAUGCCCUCCCUUCGUAGGCUCACCUCUUUGCGCUGCUUCUUAUCCAUCCGCGUGCCCCCAUGGCUUCUACUGGCUGCUGCAAUGAAUGGUCGGGGGAUGAAGGUGCCGCGCGAAUCCACCUGAGACGCUGCUGCUGCACAACGGCGAGCUCAACGAGCCCGACGACGACGGCAAGCUGGAGGCUCAUACCGGCGGGCUCGAUAAGGAAUACGAGGACGGCGAUUCCCAGAGUAGCCCGAGCGACCUGGAAGCGGAGGAGGGUAGCAGCCAUAGGAGGCGUCGUCUACGCCAUAGGAGGGUAGCAGCCAGAGGACGGCGAUUCUCAUAUGCCUGGGCCGCCGGCCCGCCGCGCUGCGACGCCCUCCACGAUGGGCGCCCCAAGAUUCUUCGGCCGCAGGAGGCGUCUGACGGCAGCGGCGCGUCUCCGGCCAAAUCCGGUCAAAUCCACUGGAAAAACAGUGGCAGCGGCGCGGCAGCUGGACCUCGCAGCCCUCCUGCCCGGCCAAGCGACAAGCCCCAAUAGCAGAACCCAAUGGUCGUCGCGCAGCAGCUUUCUUGAUGUUAGAAGAGUGAAAGCAGAGCAAGGGAGAGCAUGUGAUUGUUUGAUAAUCCCUUAAUUCUUCACGGCCAUAUGAUGCUGUCCAACCAAGUUUGUGUUUCCACAUUGCUUCUUAUGGAGAAUUGAAAGCGUCUUCAAAGGCUUCCUCUUCCUCAUACUUGUACAUGCAAGCACUGAAAUCAGCAAGUACAUUUGGUCCAUCCUCGUCUUUUUUCUUAUGAGGUAAGUGCCUGAUGGCAUUUUCCAUUAUGUGAAAAGUGCACAACCCAUGCCAUGCUUCGGUAAAUACUGCCUGAAUUGCAUUACCCAUUGCUACAUCUUGAUCAGUAAAGAUUGUCCUUGGUUGUUUUUUGUUAUGCACUGAUAGGAACGUGUUGAACAACCAUUUGAAUGAUUCAAAUGUCUCAUCAUAUAAAAGUGCAGCACCAAAAAUGACCAUUUCUCUGAAAUGGUUGAAGCCAACAAACACACCAAAGGGUCUGUACUCUUUGUUUGUCCCAAAUGUUGUAUCGAAGGUAACAACAUCACCGAAAUGAGCAUAGUCAAUUAUCAUCCUUGCAUCAGACCAGAAGAUAUUUGCUAUAUUUUCAUCGCAAUCUAGUUGCAUGUCAUAUUCAAAUGCAGGAUUCUCAUUCUUUUUAUCUCUAAAAUACUUGAGCAUACUUCCAGCUUCACCAUACAUCAGGUCCCUUUGUCGCUUGGUUCGCAAGUGGUUCUUGCGAUCACGACAUGUCGACUUGCUAGCUCAUGGGCUUUUCUGGGUACAAUUCCUGAAUCAUCUGCUGUUUUAAUUUCAAAUGCUUGCAAGGCCGAAAUCUUCCUCUGUGAUGGCAUCAAGUGGCUUGUCCCAGGUAAUUGCAAGACAUGGUUGUGUUCAACAACUAACUCAUGCACCUCAUAAUUUCCUGCUUCUCGGUCUAUAGUAAUUCCCAUUCGAACAUUGCAGCCGGUCCUUGUUUCUGCAGGAGGACGCUUUGUACUAUUAUCCCUUUUGUCUUUUCUUCUGUAGCCCUCAUUGGAACAAACAUAUCUUGCUGAAGUGAUUACUCCAUCGAGUUUGCUCUUGUUUUCAUAAUUUAUCCUUACAUCAAAACCAAUAUGACCUCCAUAACAUGUCCAAAAGUUUCAAGCCUCUUUUGUGGAAUUGAAUUUCAUACCAAUCUGAGGCAUCCAACUAGGAACCACAUUUUUCCUAUAAAAAUUACACAUAAAUUAUUUGUUUGUAUGUUUACACUACAAUCAUAAGGUGAUAUGACCUGAGAAUUUAACAAAACUGUCGGUACCUGUUAGCAUCCUCAUUAGAGCUAGUCAUAUUCUCCAUUAGACUUUCUCUUCUUUUUUGUUGCUAGGAGAAGGACAACAAAAGGGAGAUCAUCUGCAUUAAUCUCCUGUAAUGUUUUGGAAAUCCCAGAAGAAGGAAGGCAAAAGGGAGAUAAUCUUCAUCGCCUACGGAUCAGCUUGCCUUGGUUUUGCUCUGAACAUGGAGGAUGAUCAGAAGAAAGAUAGGGCAAAAGGGAGUUGAUAUGCGCCAGGGUUCGGCUCCUUAUCUUGCCUUGGUUGUGCUCUGAACACGAAGGACGAUCAGAAGAAAGAUAGGGCAAAAGGGAGUUGAUCUGCGCCAGGGUUCGGCUCCUUAGCUUGCCUUGGUUGCGCUCUGAACAUGGAGGACGAUCAGAAGAAAGAUAGGGCAAAAGGAGGAACGAGGAAGACGAGCGGGACAAACGCAAAGAGGUUGUUGUUUGGCGCCAUGGCGAUUAUCAGGGUGUGUUUUGUUUGGCGCCAAUGUGAGUAUCUUCGUGGUUCUGUUUGGCGGCAAUCCUGCAGCCGUAGGAGAUUUUGUACCACAUAAUUAGCUGUUUGUUUCCAUUUAUUAACAGAAUCAAGUGGGGGUAGUGAGAGUCGUCAGAUUUAAAUGGACGGCUAAUGUGAGUUGGUACAGUACCCGUGCAGUAAUAACGUGACUGCAGAGGAGCCGAACCCGUUAUAUAUGCUUCCGUGUUAUCUGACGCUA